UCAAGAGUACGUGAAACCGUUCAGGGGUAAACCUGAGAAACCCAAAAGAUCGAAUGGGGAGAUUCAUCGUCAGCGGCGUUGGCUUCCGUGCGGCUCGCGAUGGCCGGGACCUGGUCCGCGUCACGCGGCGCUGCGGUAUGUCCGACGUCGUCGGCGUGCACUUCUCCCCUAGUAGGACGUCGCGACCCGUUGGGUGUCGACGAUGGCCGUUUGGUCGACUGUCGCGUCGCGUUCGCGUCACGUGGCAGACCAAUGUCGAAUCUCCGACUGCCCGGCGGUAUAGAACGAAUUGGUAUUGAGUCGCAUAAUGCGUUAGGCUCGUCGGCAGGCAAGUCUCGCUCGGUUACGGACCUGGUGCCGUUACCUUGCGCUUGGCGUGCCUUAGUCGACGAUGUCCUCGGACGGGCUCUCUCUACGGGGAAUACCGGUCGGCGACGCUACUGCUUUGGGUACUUUCAGGACCCGUCUUGAAACACGGACCAAGGAGUCUAACAUGUGCGCGAGUCAUUGGGACUUGAAGCCUAAAGGCGCAAUGAAAGUGAAGGUCGUCCUAGUCGACCUAGGGAGGA
rnacentral:rRNA from 1 species